UGCAGUCGAGCGGUAGCACACGAGAGAGCUUGCUCUCCGGGUGACGAGCGGCGGACGGGUGAGUAAUGUCUGGGAAACUGCCUGAUGGAGGGGGAUAACUACUGGAAACGGUAGCUAAUACCGCAUAACGUCUUCGGACCAAAGUGGGGGACCUUCGGGCCUCACGCCAUCAGAUGUGCCCAGAUGGGAUUAGCUAGUAGGUGGGGUAAUGGCUCACCUAGGCGACGAUCCCUAGCUGGUCUGAGAGGAUGACCAGCCACACUGGAACUGAGACACGGUCCAGACUCCUACGGGAGGCAGCAGUGGGGAAUAUUGCACAAUGGGCGCAAGCCUGAUGCAGCCAUGCCGCGUGUGUGAAGAAGGCCUUCGGGUUGUAAAGCACUUUCAGCGAGGAGGAAGGGUUCAGUGUUAAUAGCACUGUUCAUUGACGUUACUCGCAGAAGAAGCACCGGCUAACUCCGUGCCAGCAGCCGCGGUAAUACGGAGGGUGCAAGCGUUAAUCGGAAUUACUGGGCGUAAAGCGCACGCAGGCGGUUUGUUAAGUCAGAUGUGAAAUCCCCGCGCUUAACGUGGGAACUGCAUUUGAAACUGGCAAGCUAGAGUCUUGUAGAGGGGGGUAGAAUUCCAGGUGUAGCGGUGAAAUGCGUAGAGAUCUGGAGGAAUACCGGUGGCGAAGGCGGCCCCCUGGACAAAGACUGACGCUCAGGUGCGAAAGCGUGGGGGAGCAAACAGGAUUAGAUACCCUGGUAGUCCCCGCUGUAAACGAUGUCGACUUGGAGGGUGUGCCCUUGAAGCGUGGCUUCCCG
rnacentral:rRNA from 1 species